CCCCAAACAUUGACUAUGGCUCCAGUGACUCAGAAACAGAAAAUUUUCACUCUAAAGACCAGUCUGCCCCUACAGAUGAGGAUGUGGUUUCAGGAAACUUGGAUGCGGAGGAUUCAGAAGAAAGGGCACUCUUUCAAGAAGGACUGACCUCUCGGAAAAGCCUGUUGAAGACACAGAGAAAUUGCCAUACGAUCCAAAAAGUAUGUUUACAGUACAAGAAUAUUACUUAUUAAU